UUAAAAAUAUAAAAAUGUAAAAUAAAAAUAUGGAAGAGACACGAAUUUGAUAUCAGGUCUAUCGAAAAGUUCGUAAACCAUAAUAAAAACAUGACGGUAUAUCAUUAAUAAGUUCAGACAGGAAUUUCAUAAUCAUCCGAAUUUAAUAAAUGCGAUGAUGCAGCUCAGAAAAACAUUGGUCUCUGAAUCGUACGUGGCGUUCUUCUUCUGGCCGUGAUUAACUUAAAGAUUUCGCCGGCAUGUAGUCGCAAUAAAUAGAGAUACAUUUCAGGAAACGUUUAUGAGGGAGGAGGGGAGAAGAAUGUUUCUUUAUGGAAAUAAGUGUACUGGGCCACAUGCGCCGCUCGUAUUUCCAUUCGCGGAAACAUCUAUCGGAAACUCUGCUUCCAAAGGACAGCGAACUGUCAAACGAGAAAAAUCCACACCGAUGGAUAUUUGCGUAAGCCGACGCACAAUAGAAAAACUUGCUUGUAACAAAAUUAACAGAUAAAAUAGAGUUGCACUUCGUAUAAAUGGUGACUCAGCUAAGAUUUUAGAUGAACAAAGAAAUCCAUCGAUCGUUUAAAUAAUUCUCUGCCAUAAAAAGCAAAUAUCUUCGUUUAACAACAUUUAACAAAUAAUUAAUUCAUAAUUAUCAAUUAACAAAUAAUGUGAAAAUAUUUACAUCGAUUGCAAUAAUAUAUGUGGAUAUUUAUACGAAUGGAUAGAAAUGCCCAAUUUUGUUUGUCAAUGAACGUAUUAAAUGCAGUAGAAUGCGCGGAAAAUAAAAAUAUAUCCAUGGUAAUUUUCUAUUUACUUUUUUCGCUAUGAUGGUUUAGCUAAAGCAGGAUAUUUUUACAACAACAUAAUAAACAAGUAAAAAUUGCAAUAACAUUUGUACAUUCAUAGUAUUUUCGUAAAUACUCCAAAUUAUUGAUAGUAUGUUACAUUAGACGUGACUUUCUUCAAUAGAUCAAGACAAAUUUUUCUUCUUAUAAAUAAACAGUAACAGCCGAUGCAUAUAAUAUGGAAAUAAAUGUAACUGUUCCCAAAUCGGAACAUUUCAAAUAAAUAGAUAAAUAAUCAAGAUAAAUAGAACAAAAGAAAUCGAAAAAUCUCA